rnacentral:tRNA from 1 species
GGACGUUUAGCUCAGUUGGUAGAGCGUUCCCUUCACACGGGAGAGGUCACAGGUUCGAGUCCUGUAACGUCCACCA